rnacentral:rRNA from 1 species
GACGUAGGGCGCGAGCGUUGUCCGGAUUUAUUGGGCGUAAAGAGCUCGUAGGCGGCUUGUCGCGUCGUCCGUGAAAACCUGCAGCUCAACUGCAGGCUUGCGGUCGAUACGGGCAGGCUCGAGUUCGGUAGGGGAGACUGGAAUUCCUGGUGUAGCGGUGAAAUGCGCAGAUAUCAGGAGGAACACCGGUGGCGAAGGCGGGUCUCUGGGCCGAUACUGACGCUGAGGAGCGAAGCGUGGGGAGCGAACAGG